rnacentral:rRNA from 1 species
AACGAACGUUAGCGGCGCGCCUAACACAUGCAAGUCGAGCGAGAAGGGAGCAAUCCCAGUAAAGCGGCGCACGGGUGAGUAACACGUAGGUAAUCUACCUCGAGGUGGUGGAUAACCUUCCGAAAGGAGGGCUAAUACAGCAUGAGACCACGUUCUCGAAAGAGGAUGAGGUAAAAGCGGGCCUCUAUACAUAAGCUCGCGCCACGAGAUGAGCCUGCGGCCCAUCAUGGUAGUUGGUAGGGUAACGGCCUACCAAGCCGAAGACGGGUAGCUGGUCUGAGAGGAUGAUCAGCCACACUGGAACUGAGACACGGUCCAGACUCCUACGGGAGGCAGCAGUGGGGAAUCUUGCGCAAUGGGCGAAAGCCUGACGCAGCGACGCCGCGUGAGUGAUGAAGGCCUUCGGGUUGUAAAGCUCUGUGGAGGGGGACGAAUAAGGGUUGGCUAACAUCCAGCCCGAUGACGGUACCCCUUUAGCAAGCACCGGCUAACUCUGUGCCAGCCGCCGCUGUAACAC